GUCUGUGUGGUGGGCCUGUACUCUGGGACCGUCCUGUGGCUGUGGGUCUGUGCGGUAGGACGGUGCGGUGGCUGGGUGUCUGUGCUGUGGGACUGUGCGGUGGCUGUGUGUCUGUGCUGUGGGACUCUACUCUGGGACCGAUCUGUGCCUGUGGGUCUGUGCGGUGGGGUUGCAGGACUGUCCGGCCUUGUCCUCCGGGCUGUGCGUGCGGCUGAGCAGCCGGGGGCUGCCGGGGGAGGGGGAGGGCGGUGCGGGGCGGUGCGGGGCGGUGCGGCGCUCGGCUCUUUGCAGACGCUCCCUGAGCCUCCCCCGCUCGGCUGGGCUCGGCUGGGCUGGGCUGGGCUCCGGGGCUGCAGCGGCGCAGGCUCCCGGGCCGGGCCGGCCCCGCCGGGGAGGCCGGGGCCAGCAGGACCGGCACCAGCUCCGGGAGCAGAUCCGGACGGACGGAACCGGCAUGGCUCCCGGGGCGGGAGGAGUGGAGCCCUCCCUGCCGGGGCACCGUGGGGGCACCGGAUGUUCCGCCCCCUCCGCACUGUGCCACCGAUGACUCCCGGCCUUCAGCACCCACCUGCCAACUCCACCGUGGUUCAGAUGGGGAAAGAGAGGCCCAGACAGGUGAAGCAACUUGCCCAGGGUCCCACAGUCAGCCUGCCCAUAGAGGAGCCCAGAACGCCAUCCAGGUGCUCUAUCUCCCCAUGGGUGUCAGGCGAGGCCUGCCUCCCCUUCUUCCCCCCUACCCUGAUUGGUUCCAGCCUGUUAUUCCUUCAGCCAAGUAGGUGCUCAGGGGUCUUGGGGUUGGGGAUUGGAAGAGGGUGGCUUGUCGGUGGGCCCCGUUCCCAGCUGGAUAGACAGGGGCAGACAGGGGUCCGAUCAAUCAGUCAGUCAUUCAUUCAGUCGUAUAUUUUGAGCGCUUACCAGGCGCAGAGCAUUAUACCAAGCGCUUGGGAGAGUCCGGCACAACAAUAAACAGACAAGGACCCUAAGUGGGUGGGAGAGUGCAGUGGAAAAACUAGUCAUGAUCCCUACCCUUAGGGAGUGUACAAUCUCGAAUUUGCUGAUGGCGAUGGAAGAAAGAGAGCGAUGGACUUGAGUUCGUGUUUAAGAAGAUGUAAAGUGCCACGGUGAAACAAAGAUGUCGAGUCCCUCUAAACUCUAAGCACGCUGUGGACGGGGAAUGCAUCCACCAACCUGUCGUACGCUCCAAGACCUUGGUACAUCCUCUGCAUGUAGGAAAUGCUUAAUCAAUGCCAUUGAUUGAUUGAUGGGUGGGUGGCUGUCCAUUACUAGAUAUUCCUCCAUCUGUCUCUCCCCUUAGAGCAUAAGCUCCUUGUGGGCAGGGAAUAGGUCUUGGAUUUCUGUUCACUAUGCCAAGUUUUGAGUACAGUGCUCCGCACCUCCUGGACACUCAAUAAAUACCUUUAUUACAAUUACUGCUGCUGCUAGUCCUG
rnacentral:lncRNA from 1 species